rnacentral:rRNA from 1 species
UAAUUUAAAGUCUGACCUGCCCAAUGAUAAUUUUAAUGGCCGCAGUAUUUUGACUGUGCAAAGGUAGCAUAAUCAUUAGUUUCUUAAUUAGAAACUAGAAUGAAAGGUUGAACGAGAAAAUAACUGUCUCUUUAUAAUUUUUUUAGAAUUUUAUUUUUAAGUUAAAAAGCUUAAAUAAAUUUGAAAGACGAGAAGACCCUAUAGAGUUUAAUAUUUUAUUAAUUAAAUUUUAAAAAUAGAAUUAUAUUUAUUUUAUUAAAAAAAGUAUUUAAUUGGGGUGAUUGAAAAAUUUAAUUAACUUUUUUUUUAUUUUAACAUUUUUAUAUGAUAAAUUGAUCCAUUAUUAAUGAUUAUAAGAUUAAAUUACCUUAGGGAUAACAGCGUAAUUUUUUUUAAGAGUUCCUAUCGAUAAAAAAGUUUGCGACCUCGAUGUUGGAUUAAAAUUAAUUUUUGGUGUAGAAGCUAAAAUAUUAGGUCUGUUCGACCUUUAAAAUUUU